GCGGGGCCCGGCGCUCAGUCACAGGGCCGUUAAAGUGGGUGAGGCAGCCGGCUGCGCCCGGUCCAAGCGCCCCCUGCCACCGCAGGCUCGUGAGUGGGACUUGGGCAGCUGGUUCCUGCAGCGACGGGACGAAGCCCGAGGAAAAGGGGCAAAGGAAAAGGAAAAAAGCCCAGGGAAAGCCUGGUUGUCCCCGACAAGCCCUGCCUGUUGUCCCCAGCCCGUUGUUGGCUGAUGGGGUCUCGUGGUGAUUUCUCCUGAUGGUUGAGCAGAGCAGCCUGCUGUGCUGUCGGAAUGCUGCUCCUGAUGCUCCACGCAUGUUUUCUGCUUACUGCUUGCUCAAUUUUAUCUGGUCAUAAAUUAUCCUAGACAUUCUUAGUCAUAGUUACGGAGUUGUUCUGUGUAUGCCUUAAUCACCUAUCUUGUCUGUGGCAAAUGUCACUGCUUACGUGGAAGUACAGUUGUAAGAA